rnacentral:rRNA from 1 species
UACAGAGGUCCCGAGCGUUGUUCGGAUUCACUGGGCGUAAAGGUGCGUAGGUGGCCUAAAAGUUUGAUGUGAAAGCUCAGGGCUUAACCCUGAAAUGGCAUUGAAUACUGUUGGGCUGGAGGUUGGAGGGGGACUGGAAUUCUUGGUGUAGCAGUGAAAUGCGUAGAUAUCAAGAGGAACACCAGUGGCGAAGGCGAGUCCCUGGACAACACCUGACACUGAGGCACGAAAGCUAGGGGAGCAAACAGG